rnacentral:rRNA from 1 species
UACGUAGGGUGCGAGCGUUAAUCGGAAUUACUGGGCGUAAAGCGUGCGCAGGCGGUCUUGCAAGACAGGUGUGAAAUCCCCGGGCUUAACCUGGGAAUUGCAUUUGUGACUGCACGGCUAGAGUGUGUCAGAGGGGGGUAGAAUUCCACGUGUAGCAGUGAAAUGCGUAGAUAUGUGGAGGAAUACCGAUGGCGAAGGCAGCCCCCUGGGAUAACACUGACGCUCAUGCACGAAAGCGUGGGGAGCAAACAGG